AAGACUUACCGGAUUAGCUGAGAGGUGGUGCAUGGCCGUCGUCAGUUCGUACUGUGAAGCAUCCUGUUAAGUCAGGCAACGAGCGAGACCCACGUCCACAGUUGCCAGCAUACCCUCCGGGGGUGAUGGGUACACUGUGGAGACCGCCGCUGCUAAAGCGGAGGAAGGAAUGGGCAACGGUAGGUCAGUAUGCCCCGAAUCUCCCGGGCUACACGCGGGCUACAAUGGUUGGUACAAUGGGCAUCUACCCCGAAAGGGGAAGGAAAUCUCUUAAAGCCAAUCGUAGUUCGGAUUGAGGGCUGCAACUCGCCCUCAUGAAGCUGGAAUCCGUAGUAAUCGCGUUUCAACAGAACGCGGUGAAUACGUCCCUGCUCCUU
rnacentral:rRNA from 1 species